AUUGAACGCUGGCGGCAUGCCUUACACAUGCAAGUCGAACGGCAGCGGACCUUCGGGUGCCGGCGAGUGGCGAACGGGUGAGUAAAGUAUCGGAACGUACCUUUCAGUGGGGGAUAACGUAGCGAAAGUUACGCUAAUACCGCAUAUUCUCUGAGGAGGAAAGCAGGGGACCUUCGGGCCUUGCGCUGAUUGAGCGGCCGAUAUCAGAUUAGCUAGUUGGUGGGGUAAAGGCCUACCAAGGCGACGAUCUGUAGCGGGUCUGAGAGGAUGAUCCGCCACACUGGAACUGAGACACGGUCCAGACUCCUACGGGAGGCAGCAGUGGGGAAUUUUGGACAAUGGGGGCAACCCUGAUCCAGCCAUGCCGCGUGAGUGAAGAAGGCCU
rnacentral:rRNA from 1 species